rnacentral:rRNA from 1 species
UUGCACGCUGGCGGCAGGCCUCACACCUGCAAGUCGAGCGGAUGAAGGGAGCUUGCUCCUGGAUUCAGCGGCGGACGGGUGAGUAAUGCCUAGGAAUCUGCCUGGUAGUGGGGGAUAACGUCCGGAAACGGGCGCUAAUACCGCAUACGUCCUGAGGGAGAAAGUGGGGGAUCUUCGGACCUCACGCUAUCAGAUGAGCCUAGGUCGGAUUAGCUAGUUGGUGGGGUAAGGGCCUACCAAGGCGACGAUCCGUAACUGGUCUGAGAGGAUGAUCAGUCACACUGGAACUGAGACACGGUCCAGACUCCUACGGGAGGCAGCAGUGGGGAAUAUUGGACAAUGGGCGAAAGCCUGAUCCAGCCAUGCCGCGUGUGUGAAGAAGGUCUUCGGAUUGUAAAGCACUUUAAGUUGGGAGGAAGGGCAGUAAGUUAAUACCUUGCUGUUUUGACGUUACCAACAGAAUAAGCACCGGCUAACUUCGUG